rnacentral:rRNA from 1 species
AUUGAACGCUGGCGGCAUGCCUUACACAUGCAAGUCGAACGGUAACGGGCCUUCGGGUGCCGACGAGUGGCGAACGGGUGAGUAAUGUAUCGGAACGUACCUUUCAGUGGGGGAUAACGUAGCGAAAGUUACGCUAAUACCGCCUAUUCUGUGCGCAGGAAAGCAGGGGAUCGCAAGACCUUGCGCUGAUUGAGCGGCCGAUAUCAGAUUAGCUAGUUGGUGAGGUAAAGGCUCACCAAGGCGACGAUCUGUAGCGGGUCUGAGAGGAUGAUCCGCCACACUGGAACUGAGACACGGUCCAGACUCCUACGGGAGGCAGCAGUGGGGAAUUUUGGACAAUGGGGGCAACCCUGAUCCAGCCAUGCCGCGUGAGUGAAGAAGGCCUUCGGGUUGUAAAGCACUUUAAGCGAGGAGGAGGCUCUUAAGGUUAAUACCCUUGAUGAGUGGACGUUACUCGCAGAAUAAGCACCGGCUAACUCUGUGCCAGCCGCCGCCGUAACAC